rfam:Smittium mucronatum strain ALG-7-W6 scaffold-7186, whole genome shotgun sequence.
GCUCUGUUAGCAUAGCUGGUUAAUGCGUCGUGCUUAUAGUUCAAAUAACUAUGAUAGAGUCACGCGAAGAUCACCAGUUCGAUCCUGGUACGGAGCA